GGCCAAUGGCCCAUCUAGUCCAGUCACACAGUGGCCUACCAGAUGUUGGUAGAACAUGAGACUCUUAAUAUCAGGGUCAUGGGUUUGAGCCCCACAUUGGCCA